rnacentral:rRNA from 1 species
CAUGCACCGAAGCUGCGGCAGCGACACUGUGUGUUGUUGGGUAGGGGAGCGUUCUGUAAGCCUGCGAAGGUGGCCUGUGAGGGUUGCUGGAGGUAUCAGAAGUGCGAAUGCUGACAUAAGUAACGAUAAAGCGGGUGAAAAGCCCGCUCGCCGGAAGACCAAGGGUUCCUGUCCAACGUUAAUCGGGGCAGGGUGAGUCGACCCCUAAGGCGAGGCCGAAAGGCGUAGUCGAUGGGAAACGGGUUAAUAUUCCCGUACUUGGUGUUACUGCGAAGGGGGGACGGAGAAGGCUAUGUUGGCCGGGCGACGGUUGUCCCGGUUUAAGCGUGUAGGUGUGUGUUCCAGGUAAAUCCGGUUCACUUUAACACUGAGGCGUGACGACGAGGCACUACGGUGCUGAAGCAACAAAUGCCCUGCUUCCAGGAAAAGCCUCUAAGCAUCAGGUAACAUCAAAUCGUACCCCAAACCGACACAGGUGGUCAGGUAGAGAAUACCAAGGCGCUUGAGAGAACUCGGGUGAAGGAACUAGGCAAAAUGGUGCCGUAACUUCGGGAGAAGGCACGCUGACACGUAGGUGAAGUGAUUUACUCAUGGAGCUGAAGUCAGUCGAAGAUACCAGCUGGCUGCAACUGUUUAUUAAAAACACAGCACUGUGCAAACACGAAAGUGGACGUAUACGGUGUGACGCCUGCCCGGUGCCGGAAGGUUAAUUGAUGGGGUCAGCGCAAGCGAAGCUCCUGAUCGAAGCCCCGGUAAACGGCGGCCGUAACUAUAACGGUCCUAAGGUAGCGAAAUUCCUUGUCGGGUAAGUUCCGACCUGCACGAAUGGCGUAAUGAUGGCCAGGCUGUCUCCACCCGAGACUCAGUGAAAUUGAACUCGCUGUGAAGAUGCAGUGUACCCGCGGCAAGACGGAAAGACCCCGUGAACCUUUACUAUAGCUUGACACUGAACAUUGAGCCUUGAUGUGUAGGAUAGGUGGGAGGCUUUGAAGUGUGGACGCCAGUCUGCAUGGAGCCGACCUUGAAAUACCACCCUUUAAUGUUUGAUGUUCUAACGUGGACCCGUUACCCGGGUUGCGGACAGUGUCUGGUGGGUAGUUUGACUGGGGCGGUCUCCUCCUAAAGAGUAACGGAGGAGCACGAAGGUUGGCUAAUCCUGGUCGGACAUCAGGAGGUUAGUGCAAUGGCAUAAGCCAGCUUGACUGCGAGCGUGACGGCGCGAGCAGGUGCGAAAGCAGGUCAUAGUGAUCCGGUGGUUCUGAAUGGAAGGGCCAUCGCUCAACGGAUAAAAGGUACUCCGGGGAUAACAGGCUGAUACCGCCCAAGAGUUCAUAUCGACGGCGGUGUUUGGCACCUCGAUGUCGGCUCAUCACAUCCUGGGGCUGAAGUAGGUCCCAAGGGUAUGGCUGUUCGCCAUUUAAAGUGGUACGCGAGCUGGGUUUAGAACGUCGUGAGACAGUUCGGUCCCUAUCUGCCGUGGGCGCUGGAGAACUGAGGGGGGCUGCUCCUAGUACGAGAGGACCGGAGUGGACGCAUCACUGGUGUUCGGGUUGUCAUGCCAAUGGCACUGCCCGGUAGCUAAAUGCGGAAGAGAUAAGUGCUGAAAGCAUCUAAGCACGAAACUUGCCCCGAG